rnacentral:siRNA from 1 species
AGCCACCAGUGCCUUUAUUAAAAC